rnacentral:rRNA from 10 species
UGAGACUUUAAGUCUCCUGAAGGAACGUUGAAGACGACGACGUUGAUAGGCCGGGUGUGUAAGCGCAGCGAUGCGUUGAGCUAACCGGUACUAAUGAACCGUGAGGCUUAACCUUACAACGCCGAAG